rnacentral:lncRNA from 13 species
UUCUAGGUUGAAUAGCUAUUAACAAUUGUAGCCACUAUGAGAGCCUGAUAGGGAAUGUUGGCCAGGAAGGAGGCGAAGGCUGUUUGGCCUUGUAGAGAGAGAGAUAAAAGGGUUUUUGUUAACUAAUAGCCAAUGCAGUCCUGAUAGGGCAGAAGGAUGUAGGCUGCAGUUGAGGGAAUUGUUUGUGCAUUUUUUUCCAGGAAGCAUCUGCGAGUUGGAUACAUGGAGUGCAGCUUCAGCAGAGAGGGGAGAGAUUGAGACAAGGUCUUACUUCAUCACCCAGCUUGGAGUUCAGUGGCAUAAUUGCAGCUCACUGCAACCUUCACCUUCCAGGUUCAAGUGGUCUUCCCACCUCAGGCUCCCAAAUAUCUGGGACCACAGGUAUGUACCACUAUGCCCUGCUAUAGAGAUGAAAUCUUACUAUGCUUCUCAGGCUGGUCUCAAACUCCCAGGUUCAAGCCGUCCUCCUGUCUUGGCCUCCCAAAGUGCUGGGAUUAGAGGUGUGAGCCAUUGCAAUCAACCUUCAAUUCCUUUUUAUUUCAUCUUCUAAAAUUAUGUUUGACAGAGUAGGAGCAUAGCUGUCUUGGACAAGCACUGCCAUUUCAAAGUUCCCCUUGAUCAAAAACUGCCUAAAUCUAAAGGGCAUCAGCCUAAUAGCUAAAGUCAGCGUGGCCGUAAACCACAAAUUACAUCUCCAACCAGAAACAUUCCAACCCUAAGAUAAAUCCCUCCCCAACCAGAGGGACACCCUCCCUGUUUGGGUGAGGCUUACAAUGUGGGCCCCUCACCAUCACAGGAGGAAAUCUCUUCACUGCUGCUGCUGACAAUAGAAGACUGAGGGUGUCCGGGAUCCUUUGCCCUCACGUCCAGUGAGUCCACAGAAACUACAGUGAUUGGGAUCGUGUCUGGUAAGAUUAUUUCCUUCCUGUUGGAUACUGGUGUGAGCCUAUUGUAACUGAAUAUCAAUUCCCAUUAGAACACUCAUCUGUUUCUGUUGUUGGCUUGAAAGGCAUACAAGUAACCCCAUACAAAACACUGCCACUAUACUGCACAUUUGAGGGAAUCACCCCCACUCACUCUCUCUUGGUCAUUCCCCACUGUCCCAUUCCUUUACUAGGAAGGGACAUCUUACACAAACUAGGGGGAAUCAUUUAUUUAUUAGCCCUACAUCGAAGCCACCCAUACUUAUUAUUACGUCAAGAACAAAACCCCUCCUCAGAAACUCCACGGCAAAUUGACUUAAAUCCCAAAUUCCUCAGCCAGCUAAAUCCCCUUGUAUGGAAGACUGACUCCUCCAUAAUAGCUACUCUUCAUUCUCCAAAUCAAAUUUCACUGAAGGACUCUAAGUGCUACAUAGUGGUCCCAUCAUAUCCCCUCAACCCUAAUGGAUUAUGGGGAAUCAAGCCCAUCAUCUCCUGACUUUUGGCCGUCAAUAUUUUAAUCCCCAUCCAUUCUCCACACAUUACCCCUAUUCUCC